rnacentral:rRNA from 1 species
AUUGAACGCUGGCGGCAGGCCUAACACAUGCAAGUCGAGCGGAUGAAGGGAGCUUGCUCCUGGAUUCAGCGGCGGACGGGUGAGUAAUGCCUAGGAAUCUGCCUGGUAGUGGGGGAUAACGUCCGGAAACGGGCGCUAAUACCGCAUACGACCUGAGGGAGAAAGUGGGGGGUCUUCGGACCUCACGCUAUCAGAUGAGCCUAGGUCGGAUUAGCUAGUUGGUGGGGUAAAGGCCUACCAAGGCGACGAUCCGUAACUGGUCUGAGAGGAUGAUCAGUCACACGGGAAGUGAGACACGGUCCAGACUCCUACGGGAGGCAGCAGUGGGGAAUAUUGGACAAUGGGCGAAAGCCUGAUCCAGCGAUGCCGCGUGUGUGAAGAAGGUCUUCGGAUUGUAAAGAACUUUAAGGUGGGAGGAAGGGCAGUAAGUUAAUACCUUGCUGUUUUGACGUUACCAACAGAAUAAGCACCGGCUAACUUCGUG